GACGUAGGGCGCGAGCGUUGUCCGGAUUUAUUGGGCGUAAAGAGCUCGUAGGCGGCUUGUCGCGUCGACUGUGAAAUCCCGCGGCUCAACUGCGGGUCUGCAGUCGAUACGGGCAGGCUAGAGUUCGGUAGGGGAGACUGGAAUUCCUGGUGUAGCGGUGAAACGCGCAGAUAUCAGGAGGAACACCGAUGGCGAAGGCAGGUCUCUGGGCCGAUACUGACGCUGAGGAGCGAAAGCGUGGGGAGCGAACAGG
rnacentral:rRNA from 1 species